GGCCGAGCUGAGGGGCAAGGGCGAGCCCAUGCAGCACGCACAGCGCGCUCGCACUUCUACCUCCCGGUUAAAAAAUACAAGUUACCCAAACUAAAUACCAGGCUCCAGCCACGAACGAGGGUGAUUUCCCCCAAAAUUAUUCUAGUUCCGUCCCGGUGAUCUUAUCCCUCCCCUCCUUCUCCUAUGAUUUUUGGCUUGCAGCAUCUGAACUGUUUGUACACUGACAGACACCAGAUGCACAUUACAGACCUGCCGUGUCAACCAGCACAGGUCAUCCAAAGGUUUCUAGACUACACCUUCCUGAAGAGGCCCCGAGAGUAAGUUUUAUGCCCUCUCUGCUCAGAAAAGCUUCCCUUCAAAGAAAAUUCUGUGAAAGCAGCAAACUCAAAACAGUUCAAAACCAGGAACUUUAUCACUUCAACUGAAAGAUGGACAACUUUCAGAUGCCACUGAUUCCUUUUUGGUCCAGACAGCAUUGCCUACACUCAUCUGGGGAAACAAACAAAAAGGAUAUUAAAAAAGGAACUCCAGGAAAAUAACAAUGCACCCUAACUGAUCUGAAACCACUUUGUCUGUUCUGCAGAAGUGCAUUUAAAUAGCAUCACAACAAGAAUUUAAGUAGA